UACGUAGGGUGCGAGCGUUAAUCGGAAUUACUGGGCGUAAAGCGUGCGCAGGCGGUUUUGUAAGCCAGAUGUGAAAUCCCCGGGCUUAACCUGGGAAUGGCAUUUGGGACUGCAAGGCUUGAGUGCGGCAGAGGAGACUGGAAUUCCUGGUGUAGCAGUGAAAUGCGUAGAUAUCAGGAGGAACACCGGUGGCGAAGGCGGCGACCUGGUCCGAUACUGACGCUGAGGCGCGAAAGCGUGGGGAGCAAACAGG
rnacentral:rRNA from 1 species